CUUAGAUCAAGGUUGCUCUUAUUUUUAAUGUACAGAUGUCCAGCUGUUCCAGCAUCACUUAUGAGACGAUUACCCUUCUGCUGCUGGCCUGCUUUUACAAGUAGGUGAAAAAGUUAAAAAAAAAAAAAAAAGGUGGAUUAGCCGCUCGCCGCUGCGGCCAAAUCUGACCACCCAAGUUUCAUCUCUGGAAUCUACAUGGAAGAACCAGAUAGCCGCCUCCCACGGGCUGUGCUCCGACCUCCACACCCCUCACCACACACAAAUAAUGUAAAAAAGGUUGUUAAAGAACCAGUUGGGCAUAUGUGUGUGGGUCUAUUCCUGGCUUUCUGUUCUGUCCUGUUAACCUCUGUGUCUCCGCCUCCACUCGGGUCACAUGGUCUCAGCUCGCGCAGCUGUACGAGGCUUGAAAUAGGAUCGACGGUAAUGAGCUGUUUUAUUUUUUUCAACACCGCCUCAGCUCCUCCAAUUCUUUUGUUCUCGGUAUAUAUUUUAGAAUGAGUCUCUCUCAUCUGAACCCCAAAGACUGCUGCCAGCCUCCUGCGGCCUGGGAGGGAUAAACACCUUAGCCAGGCAGUUGCUUGCCAGGGCUCACGUCUUAAACAGCAGACAGGAAGCAGGGAGAGCAAACUCGAAAUGGCUUAACAGUCCUUAAUUCUCUUUUGUUCUCUUUCAUAUUCCCGGUUGGACUUUACACAAAUAUUCUGCACGUCUUUCGGUUGAUUUAUACCAGGUGUUUUCGACUGAUUAUCAACAAUACGUAGCAUUUAAAAUUCUUUUCUCCAUGUGUUUAGUAUAUUCAAAUAAAAUUUAUUUUAAUACUUUUUAGGGGUGUGUGUGUGUGUGUGUGUGUGUGUGUGUGAGAGAGAGAGAGAGAGAGAGAGAGAGAGGGAGAGAGAGAGAGAGAGAGAGAACGUGAGUAUAUGGGUGCGUGCCUGUAUGUGUAUGUGUAUGUGUAUGUGAGUGUGUGUGCAUGUACCAAGGACUUUCAUUUGGGACACGGACAACUUAACCAGAGUCUACACCACUGAAGAAAGUGUCUCUCUGUGGUAGUGUGCAUGAGGUGUUUUCUAUAGUCUCAUGCAUUUGAACACUUGAUCCCCAAUUGAUGGCCCUGUUUAUGGAGGCUUAGGGGCUAUGUAUGGCCUUGUUGGAGGAAGUGUGUCCCUGGGGUGGGCUUUAGGGCUUCAAAGCCCCUUGCCAUUUCCAGGUCGUUCUCUCUGCUUCUUGCUUGCUGUUUAAGAUGUGAGACGGUUUCUGCUCCAGCCGCCAUGCCUGUCACCUGCAGCCACGAUGUCCCUGAUAUUAAGGACUUCUAACCCUCUGGAACUGGCAAGAGCAUCUACCUGCCAAGCCAUCUUGCCAACCCUGCAGUUACUUCAUAUCCAGUCGUGGAAGAUCUCCGUUGUCCCCACAUUUCUGUGAAUGGCUUUCGGUUGGUUUUUGUUUGUUUGUUUUUUUAAGAUUUAUUUAUUUACUAUAUUUAAGUACACUGUAGCUGUCUUCAGACACUCCAGAAGAGGGCCCCAGAUCUGAUGGUUGUGAGCCACCAUGUGGUAGCUGGAAUUGAACUCAUGACCUUCAGAAGAGCAGUCAGUGCUCUUAACCGCUGAGUCAUCUCUCCAUCCCCCCUCGGUUGUUUUAAUAAUACAAUGGAAACACCAUUUUAAAAAAAUCUCCAUACAGUUUUCAGGCUAUUCGCCACAUCGCAUAGUCGAUCAACACUAACUCCAGGAUGAUUUACCACUUUCUACCCCAAAGAAGCCCUGUACUCAGCUGUGCCCAGUUGCUCUCCAGUCCCUCCUCCCUCCACCCCUAGACCUUAGCUUGGAUCACUCUACUUUCUAUCUUUGAGAAUUGUCUAUUCUGAAGGUUUCUACUCCAUUCAGACUGUAAGCCUGAUUGAUGUCU
rnacentral:lncRNA from 1 species